rnacentral:miRNA from 1 species
CGCCUGGCUCCCAGCAUGGCACUGGGCAGGGUCUCCCCAUUGGCGGGAGGGCCUGGGUUGGAUGAGGCCAGAGUCAGACAGGACAUAAA